rnacentral:rRNA from 1 species
GCUGCCAGCUAGCUCUCUGCAACUCUCACAUGGUUGAAGCUAAACAGGACUGCGCCUGGUCAGUACCUGAAUGGGAGACCACAUGGGAAAGCUAGGCUGCUGCCGGAA